GCAGUCGUGGCCGAGUGGUUAAGGCGUCUGACUCGAACUCUGGAGCGUAGGUUCGAAUCCUACCGGCUGCG